rnacentral:tRNA from 1 species
CACUAACAGAAUUUAGUUUAAAAAAAUUUUAGUCUUGGAUACUAAAGAUAUCAGAAUGAUAA